GGGUUGUGAGGUUAAGCGACUAAGCGUACACGGUGGAUGCCCUGGCAGUCAGAGGCGAUGAAGGACGUGCUAAUCUGCGAUAAGCGUCGGUGAGGUGAUAUGAACCGUUAUAACCGGCGAUUUCCGAAUGGGGAAACCCAGUGUGUUUCGACACACUAUCAUUAACUGAAUCCAUAGGUUAAUGAGGCGAACCGGGGGAACUGAAACAUCUAAGUACCCCGAGGAAAAGAAAUCAACCGAGAUUCCCCCAGUAGCGGCGAGCGAACGGGGAGGAGCCCAGAGCCUGAAUCAGUGUGUGUGUUAGUGGAAGCGUCUGGAAAGGCGCGCGAUACAGGGUGACAGCCCCGUACACAAAAAUGCACAUAUUGUGAGCUCGAUGAGUAGGGCGGGACACGUGGUAUCCUGUCUGAAUAUGGGGGGACCAUCCUCCAAGGCUAAAUACUCCUGACUGACCGAUAGUGAACCAGUACCGUGAGGGAAAGGCGAAAAGAACCCCGGCGAGGGGAGUGAAAAAGAACCUGAAACCGUGUACGUACAAGCAGUGGGAGCCUCUUUAUGGGGUGACUGCGUACCUUUUGUAUAAUGGGUCAGCGACUUAUAUUCUGUAGCAAGGUUAACCGAAUAGGGGAGCCGAAGGGAAACCGAGUCUUAACUGGGCGUUAAGUUGCAGGGUAUAGACCCGAAACCCGGUGAUCUAGCCAUGGGCAGGUUGAAGGUUGGGUAACACUAACUGGAGGACCGAACCGACUAAUGUUGAAAAAUUAGCGGAUGACUUGUGGCUGGGGGUGAAAGGCCAAUCAAACCGGGAGAUAGCUGGUUCUCCCCGAAAGCUAUUUAGGUAGCGCCUCGUGAAUUCAUCUCCGGGGGUAGAGCACUGUUUCGGCAAGGGGGUCAUCCCGACUUACCAACCCGAUGCAAACUGCGAAUACCGGAGAAUGUUAUCACGGGAGACACACGGCGGGUGCUAACGUCCGUCGUGAAGAGGGAAACAACCCAGACCGCCAGCUAAGGUCCCAAAGUCAUGGUUAAGUGGGAAACGAUGUGGGAAGGCCCAGACAGCCAGGAUGUUGGCUUAGAAGCAGCCAUCAUUUAAAGAAAGCGUAAUAGCUCACUGGUCGAGUCGGCCUGCGCGGAAGAUGUAACGGGGCUAAACCAUGCACCGAAGCUGCGGCAGCGACACUAUGUGUUGUUGGGUAGGGGAGCGUUCUGUAAGCCUGUGAAGGUGGCCUGUGAGGGUUGCUGGAGGUAUCAGAAGUGCGAAUGCUGACAUAAGUAACGAUAAAGCGGGUGAAAAGCCCGCUCGCCGGAAGACCAAGGGUUCCUGUCCAACGUUAAUCGGGGCAGGGUGAGUCGACCCCUAAGGCGAGGCCGAAAGGCGUAGUCGAUGGGAAACAGGUUAAUAUUCCUGUACUUGGUGUUACUGCGAAGG
rnacentral:rRNA from 1 species